rnacentral:rRNA from 1 species
UUCCGUAGGUGAACCUGCGGAAGGAUCAUUAAAGAAUGUAGGCCUCACAGCCGUAUUCUCACCCUUUGUAUACCAAUACCGCGUUGCCUUGGCAGGCUGUUACAGGCCUGCCAGUGGAUCAUAAACCCUAGAAUCUCUGCUGUCUGAGUACUAUACAAUAGUUAAAACUUUCAACAACGGAUCUCUUGGUUCUGGCAUCGAUGAAGAACGCAGCGAAAUGCGAUAAGUAAUGUGAAUUGCAGAAUUCAGUGAAUCAUCGAAUCUUUGAACGCACAUUGCGCCCUCUGGUAUUCCAGGGGGCAUGCCUGUUCGAGCGUCAUUACAACCCUCACGCCUCGCGUGGUCUUGGGCUCGCCCUGUAGGGCCUGCCUCAAAGUCAGUGGCGGCACCGUCUGACCCCUAAGCGUAGUAACAUCACCUCGCUUCUGGGCGCUGGAUGGAGGCUUGCCAUCAAACCCCCCCAAUUUUUACAGGUUGACCUCGGAUCAGGUAGGGAUACCCGCUGAACUUAAGCAUAUCAAUAAGCGGAGGAAAA